rnacentral:rRNA from 1 species
CCUACGGGUGGCAGCAGUGGGGAAUAUUGCACAAUGGGCGCAAGCCUGAUGCAGCCAUGCCGCGUGUGUGAAGAAGGCCUUCGGGUUGUAAAGCACUUUCAGCGGGGAGGAAGGCGUUAAGGUUAAUAACCUUGUCGAUUGACGUUACCCGCAGAAGAAGCACCGGCUAACUCCGUGCCAGCAGCCGCGGUAAUACGGAGGGUGCAAGCGUUAAUCGGAAUUACUGGGCGUAAAGCGCACGCAGGCGGUCUGUCAAGUCGGAUGUGAAACCCCCGGGCUCAACCUGGGAACUGCAUUCGAAACUGGCAGGCUAGAGUCUUGUAGAGGGGGGUAGAAUUCCAGGUGUAGCGGUGAAAUGCGUAGAGAUCUGGAGGAAUACCGGUGGCGAAGGCGGCCCCCUGGACAAAGACUGACGCUCAGGUGCGAAAGCGUGGGGAGCAAACAGGAUUAGAUACCCGUGUAGUC